rnacentral:rRNA from 1 species
UACGUAGGUGGCAAGCGUUGUUCGGAAUUAUUGGGCGUAAAGCGCGCGCAGGCGGUCCUUUAAGUCUGAUGUGAAAGCCCACGGCUCAACCGUGGAGGGUCAUUGGAAACUGGGGGACUUGAGUACAGAAGAGAAGAGUGGAAUUCCACGUGUAGCGGUGAAAUGCGUAGAGAUGUGGAGGAACACCAGUGGCGAAGGCGACUCUUUGGGCUGUAACUGACGCCGAGGCGCGAAAGCGUGGGGAGCAAACAGG